UGGGGGUGCUGGCUGGUCACUCUUACAUAACGCCAUGCCGGAAACAGAGGAUCCUACUUUUCCCUAGUUGCUCUAGAGAAGGCAGGCAGGGAUGCUGGGAUGACAGGGCAAAAAGAUGGUGCUCUGGUGCCUUACUCCUUCCCUACAUCCUCAAUCUGGAGUCACAGGCUACGGCACCUGCAUCACAGACUUCGGGAGUUGGACAGGUCCAGAGCAGCAUUUCCGCCCUUGUCCCCAGCCUGGGCGCUGGAACCAGCGAGAAGCCCUCCCACCCACCUUCAAGCAGGGUGGCCCCACCUUUAUAUGUUUCCUGUCAUGAGGUUCCUGUGAAAGAUUGUGAGAAAAGGAUGCCACUGCCGAAAAUAUUUAAGAAGUAAGAUUUUGAAAUCCACGGAGUUAGUCCAAGCCUCUCCUACUUAUGCAGGGAUGAACUGAGGCCCAGAGGAGUCACAUGAUGGGCCAAGAUAAUACAGCUGUGACUGCCCAGCCGGCCCCACAUCAGGUCUCCCACCUUCAGCUAAUUCCCUCUUAAAUGGACCUCCGAGGAGGAGGAGCAGGGCCACAGCACGAGCGAGGCUGAUGGACACAGACCCGCCCAUCCACAUCCUCCCGGACUCUUGCAGCUGGCAGCAGAGAAAAUGAAAACGCAGGAAGAAGACAUGAAGCUGAAAGCGUGCCACGGCAGGGAUGUCAGGAGAAGCCAAACAUCUGGGCAGGGAGAUGGCAGGAUGCAGGGUGUUGGUGGGGACGCCGCCAGCCCGUGACCGGAAAGGGUGAAGGCUCCUCCCAGGACUGGGUCCGAACCAGGGCAGCCCUCACCCCCCUCCUCCCACAUGUCCGUCUCUCAGCCCAAGCAUGAGCAACUUCUGCUAGCACAUGGUGUUUUCUUUUUCCUGAAAUAAAAUAUCAUCACCUGAUCCUAGCUAAGUAA